CCCAAGCUACAGCCCGACCUCUCCAAGUUACAGCCCCACUUCUCCCAGUUACAGUCCAACUUCACCAAGCUAUAGCCCCACCUCACCGGCAUAUAGCCCCACCUCACCUGCAUAUAGCCCCACCUCACCUGCAUACAGCCCCACUUCACCAUCGUACAGCCCAACCUCUCCUUCCUACAGCCCAACAUCACCUUCGUACAGCCCUACCUCACCGUCAUACAGCCCCACUUCUCCAUCGUACAGCCCCACUUCACCAGCCUAUAGCCCCACUUCUCCUGGUUAUAGUCCAACUUCACCAAGUUAUAGCCCAACUUCACCAACCUAUAGUCCUACAUCCCCAAGCUACAAUCCUCAGUCUGCCAAAUACAGUCCGUCGCUGGCCUACUCACCAAGUAGUCCAAGAUUAUCUCCUGCCAGUCCGUACAGCCCUACAUCUCCAAAUUACAGGUAAGCCAUAGUGCGAUAUGUGGUCAAGUCUAAUGUUUGUGUUAAAAGCUGUAUCCAAUUUAUUAGGUCUUGUUUUUGAUAGAAUUCUAUAUACUGAAAUAUCUGUUGAACCUAAGACUUGCUGUAGCUGGGGAUUGGACUUGGAUGGGUUUAAAUUAUUAAUGAUUUUAUCUCUGUUGUUUUUAACAUUAUUAUAUCUGGAUGAUUAUGUUGAUGUAUCUUGUAAGCAACUUUUCUUUUUACGCAGUCCAACAUCAUCUUCGUAUUCACCGACAUCUCCCUCUAUGAUACUGGACCAAUGAUGAGAUGUUCAUUUGAAGAAACGGUUGACAUUCUUCUUGAUGCUGCAGUCUUUGCAGAAUCAGAUUAUUUGAGGGGGGUCACUGAGAAUAUAAUGUUAGGUCAGCUUGCGCCUAUUGGGACAGGAGACUGUUCAUUGUAUCUCAAUGAUGAGAUGCUGAAAAAUGCCAUCGAACUUCAGCUUCCUAGUUAUAUGGAAGGUCUGGAGUUUGGCAUGACACCUGCUCGUUCUCCGGUGUCUGGGACUCCUUAUCAUGAUGGCAUGAUGUCUCCAGGUUACUUGUUUAGCCCAAAUCUCCGUCUGUCCCCGGUCACGGAUGCCCAGUUUUCUCCUUAUGUUGGUGGAAUGGCCUUCUCUCCUACUUCAUCACCCGGAUACAGCCCAUCAUCACCAGGCUACAGUCCGUCAUCUCCUGGAUACAGUCCCACGUCACCUGGAUACAGCCCAACUUCGCCUGGAUACAGUCCCACCUCGCCUGGAUAUAGCCCUACCUCACCAACUUAUAGUCCAAGUUCUCCUGGUUAUAGUCCAACCAGUCCUGCCUAUUCUCCUACCAGUCCAUCGUACUCACCUACUUCACCAAGCUAUAGCCCAACCUCCCCAAGUUACAGCCCAACAUCCCCAAGCUACAGCCCGACCUCUCCAAGUUACAGCCCCACUUCUCCCAGUUACAGUCCAACUUCACCAAGCUAUAGCCCCACCUCACCGGCAUAUAGCCCCACCUCACCUGCAUAUAGCCCCACCUCACCUGCAUACAGCCCCACUUCACCAUCGUACAGCCCAACCUCUCCUUCCUACAGCCCAACAUCACCUUCGUACAGCCCUACCUCACCGUCAUACAGCCCCACUUCUCCAUCGUACAGCCCCACUUCACCAGCCUAUAGCCCCACUUCUCCUGGUUAUAGUCCAACUUCACCAAGUUAUAGCCCAACUUCACCAACCUAUAGUCCUACAUCCCCAAGCUACAAUCCUCAGUCUGCCAAAUACAGUCCGUCGCUGGCCUACUCACCAAGUAGUCCAAGAUUAUCUCCUGCCAGUCCGUACAGCCCUACAUCUCCAAAUUACAGGUAAGCCAUAGUGCGAUAUGUGGUCAAGUCUAAUGUUUGUGUUAAAAGCUGUAUCCAAUUUAUUAGGUCUUGUUUUUGAUAGAAUUCUAUAUACUGAAAUAUCUGUUGAACCUAAGACUUGCUGUAGCUGGGGAUUGGACUUGGAUGGGUUUAAAUUAUUAAUGAUUUUAUCUCUGUUGUUUUUAACAUUAUUAUAUCUGGAUGAUUAUGUU
rnacentral:lncRNA from 1 species